UGCCAGCCGCCGCGGUAAUACGAAGGUCCCAAGCGUUAUUCGGAAUCACUGGGCGUAAAGGGAGCGUAGGCGGCGUGGAAAGUCGGAUGUGAAAUCCCAGGGCUCAACUCUGGAACUGCAUUCGAAACUCCCAUGCUAGAGGACUGGAGAGGUGUUUGGAAUUAUCGGUGUAGCAGUGAAAUGCGUAGAUAUCGAUAGGAAGACCAAUGGCGAAGGCAGAACACUGGACAGUACCUGACGCUGAGGCUCGAAGGCUAGGGGAGCAAAAGGGAUUAGAUA
rnacentral:rRNA from 1 species